GGUCUCCCCUGCCACCUGGCUCAGGCAGAGUCAUGUCUCGGGGUGGCUCCUGCCCACACCUGUUGUGGGACAUGAGGAAAAGGUCCCUCAGGCUGGAGGACCCGUCCCAGGUGUGGGGCCACUACCUGGGAAGAAGAUAAUUUAUCCGAAGAUUAAAACUUGAAGCAACCCUAAAUUAUGCAUGAUGGCUGUGUUAAUACAGUCUGUUGGAAUGACACUGGAGAAUAUAUUUUAUCUGGCUCAGAUGACACCAGAUUAGUAAUUAGUAAUCCCUACAGCAGAAAGGUUUUGACAGCAAUCCGUUCAGGGCACCACACCAAGCAAACAUAUUUAGUGCAAAGUUCUUACCUUGCACAAAUGAUAAACAGAUUGUAUCCUGCUCUGGAGAUGGAGUAAUAUUUUAUACCAGUGUUGAGCAAGGUGCAGAAACCAACAGACAAUGCCAAUUUACGUGCCACUAUGGAACUACUUAUGAGAUUAUGACUGUACCCAAUGACCCUUACACUUUUCUCUCUUGUGGUGAAGAUGGAACUCUUAGGUGGUUUGAUACACGCAUCAAAACUAGCUGCACAAAAGAAGAUUGUAAAGGUGAUAUUUUAAAUAACUGUCCAUGUGCUGCCACAUCUGUUGCUAUUUGCCCACCAAUACCAUAUUACCUUGCUGUUGGUCAUUCUUACAGCUCAGUACAAAUAUAUGAUCGGCAAGUGCUGGGCACAAGAGCUACAGGGAAUUAUGCAGGUCAAGGGACUAUUGGAAUGGUUGCCCGUUUUAUUGCUUCCCAUCUUAAUAAUAAGUCCUGCAGAGUGACAUUUCUGUGUUACAGUGAAGAUGGUCAAGAGAUUCUUGUUAGUUACUCUUCAGAGUACAUCUAUCUUUUUGACCCGAAAGAUGAUACAGCACAAGAACUUAAAACUCCUUCAGUGGAAGAGAGAACAGAAGAGUUACGACAACCACCAGUUAAGCGUUUGAGACUUUGUGGUGAUUGGUCAGAUACUGGACCCAGAGCAAGGCCUGAGAGUGAAUGAGAAUAAGAUGGAGAGCAGAGUCCCAAUGUGUAAUGGAUGCAGAGAAUGUCUGAUAUGUUAUCAAGACGGUUCAAAGAAGCAAGUGAGGUUGCACAAAGCAAUAGAGGACGAGGAAGAUCUCGACUCAGAGGUGGAACAAGUCAGUCAGAUAUUUCAGCUCUUCCUGCGGUCUCAUCAAGUCCUGAUUUGGAAGUGCGUGAAGCUGCAAUGGAAGUAGAUACUCCAGCUGAACAAUUUCUUCAGCCUUCAGCUUCCUCUACAACGUCAGCUCAGGCUCAUUCGAUAUCAUCUCCCACGGAAAGCCCUCAGUCUACUCCUUUGCUGUCUUCACUAGACAGUGAACAAAGGCAGUCUUUUGAGGCAUCUGGACACCACACACAUCAUCAG